rnacentral:rRNA from 1 species
UACGUAGGGUGCAAGCGUUAAUCGGAAUUACUGGGCGUAAAGCGUGCGCAGGCGGUUUUGUAAGUCAGAUGUGAAAUCCCCGGGCUUAACCUGGGAACUGCGUUUGAAACUACAAGGCUAGAGUGUGGCAGAGGGGGGUGGAAUUCCACGUGUAGCAGUGAAAUGCGUAGAGAUGUGGAGGAACACCGAUGGCGAAGGCAGCCCCCUGGGUUAACACUGACGCUCAGGCACGAAAGCGUGGGGAGCGAACGGG